rnacentral:lncRNA from 1 species
GCUAGGCUUCCUGUAACUCCCUUCCUCCUGAUCCUCAGAUCUUCCAUAGCUAGGCUUAAUGUAACUCUCCACCUGUUCCUCAGACCCUCCAUAACUUGGUUUCCUGUAACUACCUUCCUCCUGAUCCUCAGAUCUCCCAUAGCUAGGCUUCCUGUAACCUUCCUCUUGAUCCUCAGAUCUCCCAUAGCUAGGCUUCCUGUAACCUUCCUCUUGUUCCUCAGAUCUUCCAUAGCUAGGCUUCCUGUAGCCUUCCUCUUGAUCCUCAGAUCUUCCAUAGCUAGGCUUCCUGUAACUUCCUUCUUCCUGAUCCUCAGAUCUUCCAUAGCUAGGUUUCUUGUAACCUUCCUCUUGUUCCUCAGACCUUCCAUAGCUAGGCUUCCUGUAACCUUCUUCUUGUUCCUCAGACCUACCAUAGCUAGGCUUACGCUCAUACUCAGACUCUGAUCUGCCACCAUAUCCAGAUCCAAGACCCGAUUCAGGUCUCCUCCCAUACUCAACCUCAGUUCUUCCACCACCAGAUCCAUACUCCGAUUGAUUCUCCGUUCUACCACCAUAACUCUGCUCAGGUCUCCGACCAUACUCCGUCUCAG